rnacentral:rRNA from 1 species
UACGAAGGGGGCUAGCGUUGCUCGGAAUCACUGGGCGUAAAGGGUGCGUAGGCGGGUCUUUAAGUCAGGGGUGAAAUCCUGGAGCUCAACUCCAGAACUGCCUUUGAUACUGAGGAUCUUGAGUUCGGGAGAGGUGAGUGGAACUGCGAGUGUAGAGGUGAAAUUCGUAGAUAUUCGCAAGAACACCGGUGGCGAAGGCGGCUCACUGGUCCGGUACUGACGCUGAGGUGCGAAAGCGUGGGGAGCAAACAGG